UACAGAGGUCCCAAGCGUUGUUCGGAUUUACUGGGCGUAAAGGGCGCGCAGGCGGUCUUGAAAGUCAGGCGUGAAAGCCCCGGGCUUAACCUGGGAAUUGCGCUUGAUACUCUGAGACUGGAGUACGGGAGAGGAGAGUGGAAUUCCCAGUGUAGAGGUGAAAUUCGUAGAUAUUGGGAAGAACACCAGUGGCGAAGGCGGCUCUCUGGACCGUAACUGACGCUGAGGCGCGAAAGCGUGGGGAGCAAACAGG
rnacentral:rRNA from 1 species